rnacentral:rRNA from 1 species
UAGGGAGGGGGCUAGCGUUAUUCGGAAUUACUGGGCGUAAAGCGCACGUAGGCGGACUGGAAAGUCAGAGGUGAAAUCCCAGGGCUCAACCUUGGAACUGCCUUUGAAACUCCCAGUCUUGAGGUCGAGAGAGGUGAGUGGAAUUCCGAGUGUAGAGGUGAAAUUCGUAGAUAUUCGGAGGAACACCAGUGGCGAAGGCGGCUCACUGGCUCGAUACUGACGCUGAGGUGCGAAAGCGUGGGGAGCAAACAGG